GAAAUCUCUCCUACGACUCCGUAACUUCAGGCACUAUUUUCAUUUUCCCGCCGCUAUUGUUUUCCUUCUUUUUCGGGAUUUCCGGAUGACCGAAUGGUGUAACGUCAUUAUCUCGAUUCAAAGGAAAGCUCUCUGGUAGAUUGUAUGGGAUGCCGUCCUGUUUGUUGAUAACCCUAUCCGUCACCUUCGGUGUAGAAUGUUUACGGUACGCUCCUCGAAUAUCGGAACAACUCGUUAAUAUCGGAUCAGCAGUUUCCGGCUUUCCUUUUCUCGACUUUUUAUUCUCGAGCUCUAUUUUUCCUGCUUUCGCUUUCUCCGCUAUUGUUCUGUUUUGACUUUUCUCCUUUGAACCUUCCUUCUCUACACGCCCGACGGCAGAUUCUUUAUUGCUCUGCAACUCUCCAACAUCACUUUCAACAGUUCGCUUCAGCUUCAACAAUUUCAACUUUUCAUUCAUAUUUGCCCGCAUUUCGUUCAGAUUCUUCUGAUGCUCUUCUUCUUCCGCAAUUUUCUUUUCCAACUGCGCCUUCUCAAACUCCAAUUCCAUAUUCCGCUUCUCCCGUUCCAGCUGCUGACGCAUAUCAAGCAAUUCCUGCUGCAUUUGCAGUCUCUUCCGGUGCAAAAUCAUCUCUCUUUCAAUUUGCCGUUUUUGCUUUUUCUUCUCUUCCUCUAACUGUUCCAGUUCUUUCUGAAGCUCAGACGAAUCAGCAACAUCCGACUCACAUGCUUCGCAAUCCGGACAACUCCAGGAAAUGUUUCGUACGUCGUCAUUAACACCUGCACAACCGAAAUGAUACCAUCUUUGACAGUGAUCGCAAAAUACCAUAUUCGUUUCAUCGUUAUCGGGACGAUGGCAAGCCGCGCAAUUGUAGCCAGACUGUUCGGGAUUCUCGGGGUUACUAGUUCGAAUGCUUACGAAAUCUCUCCUACGGUAUUUCAAAUGAUUUAGAAUGGAUAAAUAUUAUACUCUAUC